UACGGGGGGGGCAAGCGUUGUUCGGAAUUACUGGGCGUAAAGGGUUUGUAGGUGGCUAAUUGAGUCAGUCGUGAAAUCCCUCAGCUUAACUGGGGAACUGCGUCUGAUACUGGUUGGCUUGAGUGCAGGAGAGGAACGCGGAAUUCCAGGUGUAGCGGUGAAAUGCGUAGAUAUCUGGAGGAACACCGGUGGCGAAGGCGGCGUUCUGGACUGCAACUGACACUGAGAAACGAAAGCCAGGGGAGCAAACGGG
rnacentral:rRNA from 1 species